rnacentral:rRNA from 1 species
AAAUUGAAGAGUUUGAUCAUGGCUCAGAUUGAACGCUGGCGGCAGGCCUAACACAUGCAAGUCGAACGGUAACAGGAAGCAGCUUGCUGCUUCGCUGACGAGUGGCGGACGGGUGAGUAAUGUCUGGGAAACUGCCUGGUGGAGGGGGAUAACUACUGGAAACGGUAGCUAAUACCGCAUAA